GCAAACUUGGUCAUUUAGAGGAAGUAAAAGUCGUAACAAGGUUUCCGUAGGUGAACCUGCGGAAGGAUCAUCACUGAUUCGGGGGGUGCGCCACGCGGCGGCAGGUAACUGCUGGUGCGUGGUGUGUACUACCCAACCAAUCUUGUGUGAACCGUAACGAGCACACUGCGCGUGUGGUGGGAAGAGGUUGGUUGGUGUGUGGGGGGGAACGCGUGUGUACCGUUUGGGACACCCGCCGCCCCGCCACCAACCACACACCAUCAUGCGAGCACAAAUAUACUAUCUCCUUACAAUCUUGUCUAACACUACACACACACACACACACUAAAUUACACAACUUUUAACAAUGGAUCUCUUGGCUCUCGCAUCGAUGAAGAACGCAGC
rnacentral:misc_RNA from 1 species